CGUGUUGGGAAUUAUUAAAGGAUAGAUCGAUUUAAGAAACAUUUCGUUACGUGAAAUUUUUGGACUGAAACACGAGUGUGUGACAGGAAACUUAUAAAUUUUCUUAGCGACCAAAAAAGACAUUAAAUUUAAUUAUAAAAAUGACUUCAUACUAUCGCGUAAGGAACGCAUCUAUGCCAACAAAAUACAUCGUACAUCCUCAUUAUGCUGACGAAAAUGAAGCUCAAAUUGACUAUCAACCGUACCGAACAACACCACUCAUUUUACCAGGAGCCAAAGUUAAGAAGGACUGUACGCCAACAGAAUCUUAUCUCCGACACCACCCGAAUCCAGCAAUGCGCGGACCAGUGCAUCACAGCACGGAUGAUAUGCUAAUGAAACAAAGGGUUGCCGAUACAGUAUUGCAUCGUGUUGUGGGAGAAGACUCGAGAAGUGGAAAGGUGCAACACAAGCAAUUCAACUCUCCCAUCGGAUUGUAUUCGGACAGUAACAUUGAAAAUACAAUCAGGCAAACAGUGCCAACAUCAUCAGGUUCAACACCAAUUUUCAUUGAUUUAUCUUUUCUGCAACAAAAACACAAAAUCUUGGAGCAACAACAACAACUGCAUCAACAACAGCGUUAUUCCAAUAAAUAUCCCAGCUAUCAACCACAAAGUUUUAAUCGACCCUCAUCAUCAUCGAAUGAUUUUAACAAUAAUAACACUUACUACCCCCCGAACCUACAAAAUCCAACAUGGCGGAAUUAAUUUGUUUCUUGUUUAUUGUGUCUUUUAUCGUUAUUGGUUAUCCCAUUAUGUUAUACUUCAAUUUGAAACAAGCAAAAUACUGAACGAUUGCAAUUUUUUUUCAUGGUUUUUGUGUUCUUUUUUCCUAAUAAUUUUCUAAUUUUUCAUUCUUUUUUUCUCAAAAUUAAUUCUAGCAACAACGAAAAUUUUGGUUUGCUUUUUUAAUUCUGAAAUUAUUUUUAGAUUGAACGUUUAACGGUCUUAAUUUUUGAAUAGAGUGGGGUCGACUAAUUUUCACCCUACUUUCAACAAAUCGGACUCAGAUUAGCACUAUUGAAAAUUUUACAAAAAUCGUACGGUAAACCAUCCAAAAUUUUUAAUUUGCCUCGAGCGUAACGAAAAUCUCUAAAGCUUCGACACGAACAAGUCAAACUAAUUUCAUUUACGGUAUAGUCUUUGUUAUAGCUGCUCUUCAUGGAAUAACAUAAAUGUGCAGUUCGGGUGAAUUUUUCAUUAACAUAUUUAGGCGUGUGGACAGUAUCUCUAUUCUCCCAUAGGUUAUUUUGUCAUCUUUAAAGACCACACUUUAUUCCGGCUAUUUUUUUAAUCUUUUUAUUUAGUAAAGAGGAAGUAAAAGCUCAAUUUUAGCAUGGUAACAGUUUACAUCACAUUUUACGUUGAACUUUAACGGUUAAAGGUUGUGUAAUAAAGUUUGUGGAUUGUGGAAUAUAUGGAAAUCAAACAUAUUUGUAGACAUUGUUACUGUGUUAAAUUUCGAGCCUCCUUAAUAUUUUGCUAUAGCCAUUUCCUAUCUCUAUUUUGCAAUAAAAUUAUUAAUAAAACGUGUGGAUUAGAUGCGGACUAAUUAAUUUCAAUAAAAAACUUGCAAGUUAGCGUCGAUAUUUUCUAAGAUGGUCGUCCUUCGGUCUCUUCGAUUAUGUGGCUGACAAUUGUUGAUUAAUUGAAUUUCACCACAUCUAAUCCAUACAACUCUGAAGUUCCUUAGUUUGAGUAGUCUAACCUAGAAAGCUCUAUCAAUAAAAAGAGACGGCAAGCUAAUACAUUGUCUCAAGGUAAAACCUAAUAAAAUCCUGCACUCAAUGAACAAAGUGUAUCGUUUUCAAACGGUCUCACGAAUCUUAUAAUUUCAACGACCAGUACAAAAAUGGAGAUAAGAUUCUUAAUUCGAUUAUAUACUAUACCGGCGAUGUUCAUCAAUUAGCAUGAUUCUUCCUUUAUUGCCUCGAACGAAGUAGAAAAUGUCUGUUUAAUGUAAGGAAGAAUUCAUCGUUUAUGAACGUCUCCUUUGACUAAUUACUGCAUCUCAUUAACCAUUUUUUUUAAUUCACGUUAAUCAUCCACUGUUCUACCUUCAAAAACAACACACACAAUAAAAAAAACAUCCAAAAUGUCAAAAUUUGUUUAACAUUGUCGAACCUUUUUAUUUAUUUUCCCCCUCUCCAACUACUACUUCUACUACCAAUACUACAAACCAACAACCAUCGCAAAAUACCUUUUGUGUAUCCGUAUCAAUGAACUUAUCAGCUACAAGAAAACUGUUGUCUUCGAUCCAUCCAAAAGCGAAACCUAUCGUGCAUUGCAAGAGGACCAAUACGGAUAUGGAGAACGGGUACAAGAAGUACCGAUACCUGUGCAAACUAGAGUUUAUCAACCAGGCGUCAAUCGCUUAGUACCAGGAAAGAAACCACAAGCGAGCUAUCCACCACCCCAACCUCAACAAUACCACAACCGCUAUUUUUGAAUAGGUCAACUCCAUGGGCGACUCGAACGACACUAUCCACCAGAGCCAUUCAUUCAAACGAUUGAUGUACAGUGUCAUGGGAGAGACCGAUUAUUAGUGAGCUGAUUUUACUGCAGGCAAAAUCAGAUAAAAUCAUUUGUGUAAAUCUCAAAUUAAAAAAAAAACAUUACAACAUUUUUUCCCUUUCGAAUUUAACCCAUUACUCAGUUUAAAUUAGUCAAACAAAAAGUAUAAAAAAAAAUAUUUAAUUGUGUACAUUUAUUGCAAUCGAAAAGUAGGUACAGUGCCUAAAAAUAUUUUAAAUUUUAUUUUAAGCGUGUGCGAAAUGAAAGAAAAAUAAAACUAAAAAAAAAUAAAUUUAUUUUUUGAGAUAUUUAUUUUCAACCCAAACUUUAAAAAAAUAAUUAAAUAAUUUUAGUUAUUUAUAGUUUGUUAAUUGUAUUUGUAAUUUUUUUAAAUUUUUAUUUUCAACAUUUUAUUUCGAUUUGAUUCAGUCAGAUACGAGUUAUAUAUCGAGAGUGUCAAUUCUAGUCAAAAACUAAAUAAAUAGAAGAAAUCAAAAUUUCUCUAAAAUAUUUAGAAUUAAAAAUUUUAUUUAAAUAAGAAUCUUCUUGACGCUUAAAAAUAUUUCAAAAAAAGAAACUCAAAAUAUGAAAGCUAUUUCGGAUUGUUUGACGCCAUUACUCCAAUAAAACUUUUGCUUUAACAAGGUAAAAUUGAAACGAGUUCCAGAGCGACAAACUCUGAACUGUCUAAUUCAAAUAAUUCAAUAUAUUUUGUUUAUUUAUCGAAGUUAUUAAAUAAAGUAUGGGUAAAUGUUAAAA